AUUGAACGCUGGCGGCAGGCCUAACACAUGCAAGUCGAGCGGAUGAAGGGAGCUUGCUCCUGGAUUCAGCGGCGGACGGGUGAGUAAUGCCUAGGAAUCUGCCUGGUAGUGGGGGAUAACGUCCGGAAACGGGCGCUAAUACCGCAUACGUCCUGAGGGAGAAAGUGGGGGAUCUUCGGACCUCACGCUAUCAGAUGAGCCUAGGUCGGAUUAGCUAGUUGGUGGGGUAAAGGCCUACCAAGGCGACGAUCCGUAACUGGUCUGAGAGGCUGAUCAGUCACACUGGAACUGAGACACGGUCCAGACUCCUACGGGAGGCAGCAGUGGGGAAUAUUGGGCAAUGGGCGAAAGCCUGAUGCAGCCAUGCCGCGUGAGUGAAGAAGGUCUUCGGAUUGUAAAGCACUUUAAGUUGGGAGGAAGGGCAGUAAGUUAAUACCUUGCUGUUUUGACGUUACCAACAGAAUAAGCACCGGCUAACUUCGUG
rnacentral:rRNA from 1 species